rnacentral:rRNA from 1 species
GACGAACGCUGGCGGCGUGCUUAACACAUGCAAGUCGAACGGAAAGGCCCUGCUUUUGUGGGGUGCUCGAGUGGCGAACGGGUGAGUAACACGUGAGUAACCUGCCCUUGACUUUGGGAUAACUUCAGGAAACUGGGGCUAAUACCGGAUAGGAGCUCCUGCUGCAUGGUGGGGGUUGGAAAGUUUCGGCGGUUGGGGAUGGACUCGCGGCUUAUCAGCUUGUUGGUGGGGUAGUGGCUUACCAAGGCUUUGACGGGUCGCCGGCCUGGGAGGGUGACCGGCAACAUGGGGACUGAGAUACGGCCCAGACUCCUACGGGGGGAAGCAGUGGGGAAUAUUGCACAAUGGGCGGAAGCCUGAUGCAGCAACGCCGCGGGCGGGAUGACGGCCUUCGGGUGGUAAACCGCUUUCGCCUGUGACGAAGCGUGAGUGACGGUAAUGGGUAAAGAAGCACCGGCUAACUACGUG